rnacentral:misc_RNA from 1 species
GUUCUGUACAUGGUGUUGCUGGGCAAUAUAAUUAUUUUUUCUUUUUUGUUUUAAAAAAAUUAAUUUCUUUUUCUAAUGUUUGUCGACAAUGUUUGGUAAAGAAAAUGUGAUGAAUAUGUAUUCUCUCCUUUACUCUCAAGAAGGAUUAAUGGGUUGAUCUAAAAAUUAUUGUUAAUUUCUUUGUGUAUCAAAUGUAUACUAAAUUACUAGCAUGUGACAGAACU